ACGCUGGCGGCAGGCUUUAACACAUGCAAGUCGAACGGUAAGCAGGGAAUUAGCUUGCUAAUCUGCUGACGAGUGGCGGACGGGUGAGUAAUGCUUGGGAAUCUGGCUUAUGGAGGGGGAUAACUACGGGAAACUGUAGCUAAUACCGCGUAAAAUCUUCGGAUUAAAGGGUGGGACUUUCGGGCCACCUGCCAUAAGAUGAGCCCAAGUGGGAUUAGGUAGUUGGUUAGGUAAAGGCUGACCAAGCCGACGAUCUCUAGCUGGUUUGAGAGGAUGACCAGCCACACUGGAACUGAGACACGGUCCAGACUCCUACGGGAGGCAGCAGUGGGGAAUAUUGCACAAUGGGGGGAACCCUGAUGCAGCCAUGCCGCGUGAAUGAAGAAGGCCUUCGGGUUGUAAAGUUCUUUCGGUGACGAGGAAGGUUGAUAGGUUAAUAGCCUAUCAAAUUGACGUUAAUCACAGAAGAAGCACCGGCUAACUCCGUGCCAGCAGCCGCGGUAAUACGGGGGGUGCAAGCGUUAAUCGGAAUAACUGGGCGUAAAGGGCACGUAGGCGGUGACUUAAGUGAGAUGUGAAAGCCCCGGGCUUAACUUGGGAAUUGCAUUUCAUACUGGGUCGCUAGAGUACUUUAGGGAGGGGUAGAAUUCCACGUGUAGCGGUGAAAUGCGUAGAGAUGUGGAGGAAUACCGAAGGCGAAGGCAGCCCCUUGGGAAUGUACUGACGCUCAUGUGCGAAAGCGUGGGGAGCAAACAGGAUUAGAUACCCUGGUAGUCCACGCUGUAAACGAUGUCGAUUUGGGGGUUGGGCUUUGAGCUUGGUGCCCGUAGCUAACGUGAUAAAUCGACCGCCUGGGGAGUACGGCCGCAAGGUUAAAACUCAAAUGAAUUGACGGGGGCCCGCACAAGCGGUGGAGCAUGUGGUUUAAUUCGAUGC
rnacentral:rRNA from 1 species